ACUUGGGUAGCUUAUAUUAGAGCUUAACAUUGAAGAUGUUAUUGAGAUUUUUUAUCUUCAAGUA
rnacentral:tRNA from 1 species